UACGGAGGGGGCGAGCGUUAUUCGGAAUUAUUGGGCGUAAAGGGCGCGUAGGCGGCUGAACAAGUCAAAGGUGAAAUCCCUCGGCUCAACUGAGGAACUGCCUUUGAAACUGUUCGGCUUGAGGCCGGGAGGGGGUAGCGGAAUUCCCAGUGUAGCGGUGAAAUGCGUAGAUAUCGUGAGGAAGACCAGUGGCGAAGGCGGGUCUCUGGACAGUUCCUGACGCUGAGGCGCGAAGGCCAGGGGAGCAAACGGG
rnacentral:rRNA from 1 species